GUCAGUGACUGCAGAACUCUCGCAGCAGGGGACGCUCCCGGAGGCGGAGGGGAUGAAGCACCAAGCUCCCGCCCGCCAGGGAGGACGACCUUACCGGGGAGGAGGCACAGGAAGCCCAGCCCUCCCGGUACCUGCAGGGCUCCCGGUCCCUUACCACACAGAAAUCCGGCGCUGCUCGGACCCUGAAAUGAAGUUUGCUGCUAAGAUCGCCCCGAGUCUUCAGAGGAGACUGUCUCCAACAACUGGAGACUGCGCCGAGAUUCCUGUUCAGAAGUGGCGUGGGCCGCGUGAGAAUUGGAUUCCAUCCGGCACUACCCUGCGCCCUGGACUCCUAUCGCUACUGACAUGUGGCACUGUACUUUUGGCGCUGGACAGCAGAGGGCGCCUGAGCUCCCAGGCGCGCAAUUCUCAGGCAAACAAUGGCGCCUUGGAGAUGUCAGUGGAUGAGCUGCGUGGGAUGCACUUCCGGCUUGUGUUAUUUUCAAUUUACUAAGGGGUUAUCAGGAUUUAAGGCAUUGUCGAUUGUAUGUGGGUAUCUGCGGGGUUACUUUUGUAACCUGUAAGAUUUGAUAUUUUAUUUGACAGUUAAUCUUUGUAAUAAAAUAGAGCAAAUAGCCUUAUCAGAACACCUCUGCCUCACUUCCUUCCUUCUUAUUUGUAUCUUCUCCACAUGGCCAGGGCUUGCUCCAGCUGUACUCUGCUCUGGGUGUGCAAUCCAGACCUACAGUGCGGUAAUUACUGUGGAUAAUAGAUUUUGGUUCCCAACCCACUGCUGUCCACAAAGGAGAACCAAGAUUGAUUUCACAUAUGCACCUUAAUAGCUAAAGCAAGAGGCAAAGAAUAUGGCACAACUGUUGGCUGCAGUUUGGUGCACAGGGAAAGGGGAA
rnacentral:lncRNA from 1 species